AGCAACCAUAAAUGUGUCUAGGCAACGCUUGAUCCUCCCUUCCCCUUCCCAGCAGAGGGGCAAAAAUGGCCCUCAUCGAGGAGCACUGUUGAGCCUCUGGGGUUCUCCAAAAUAGUGUUUUUUCUGUUUUUUUGAGAUGGAGUCUUAUUCUGUUGCCCAGGGUGGAGUGCAGUGGCGUGAUUUCAGCUCACGGCAGUCUCU
rnacentral:lncRNA from 1 species